UCUAAUAUGGCAGAUAAGUGCGAUGGACUUAAGCUCCAUAUAUAAAGGAUCCCUUUUGUUAGAA
rnacentral:tRNA from 1 species